rnacentral:rRNA from 1 species
UACAGAGGGGGCAAGCGUUGUUCGGAAUUACUGGGCGUAAAGGGCGCGUAGGCGGCCUGUUAAGUCGAACGUGAAAUCCCCGGGCUCAACCCGGGAACUGCGUCCGAUACUGGCAGGCUUGAAUUCGGGAGAGGGAUGCGGAAUUCCAGGUGUAGCGGUGAAAUGCGUAGAUAUCUGGAGGAACACCGGUGGCGAAGGCGAAUCCCUGGAAAAUACCUGACACUGAGGCACGAAAGCUAGGGGAGCAAACAGG